CUUCCGGUUCACAGGCCAGCCUGCGGGCAAGUUUGGGAGAGAGGGCAGGGCGAGAGGAGCUCACUGAGGACUUCUCGGUUUAAAAGGCCUUUGGAGGUGUGUAGUCUGUUCCACUAACACACAUUUCCCACCGUUCACCUGCAGAAGAUGUUCCUCAGAUUCCACACCCCGCUGACUCUAGGGAGAUUUGACCUGUGGUUUGCAGAGCCGCCAGGAGAUUAUGAAAAAAGGGCAAGAGGAAGCCAUCUUUGGUGACAACUUAUGAAGGUCCCUGAAGAAAACAUACUUGUGAGGAUAACAUAUAAUGGCAGCCAGAGG
rnacentral:lncRNA from 1 species